CACAGUUUGGUUUAAUGGUUUGAGUGCUGGACUGUAACUCUGGUAACCAGGGUUCAAACCCCUGCUGAGG